GUCACAUCGCCACGUGCAUUCUUUCAUUUCAAUCUUUCAUCCAAAAUGGCUGGUCGAUUUUUUUCUCUUGAUUAUCAGCUAAAAUUUAACAAAGGGAAUGCCACGCGGUAGCAGCCACCAUCUGCAUUAUAAUGAAAUGGAAAAUUCAGUUUUUGAUAUGUUUUUCGCAAGAUGUAUCGCACGUGUUGAAAAGUAAGAGGUAGUGAUGGUAUUGGAGCGUCGACUUUUUGAGAAUGGAUCUCCGCCUAAGUUUGACGGAAAAAAAAGGAAUUCAGCAAUCCUUACUAAACUCUGGAGACAACAUAAAGAUCAGGAACCAUACAGCGAUCGGUGAAUAAUCAGGACACAUAAUACAAAGAAAAAUCAGACUAUUUUUGCUCCCAACUGAAGCAAAUUAUGAAAUUUAUGGAUCUUGGCUAGAUUGAGGGAAAUGAGAAAUGCUGAGAACAUCUGGGUAAAAAAAAGGUCUGGACGAAUAUCUAUUCAAAUUUCUGAUACAUUUUUGAGUAUGAUUAAACUGAAAUAUGUACCUACAAUAUCACUCCAAAUAUCGAUGCCAAAUAGUAGUUGUCCUGAUAAAAUAUUACAAAAACUACUCAAAAGAAUCGCUAAUUUAAAGAGGCUUUUCUCAGCUUUAAAGUAAGGCAAAUGGGACCACAAUCAACAUUUAAAGAUGGCUUACAACAAAAUUAAGACAUCUGGAUUAUUUCUUUGGCUUCACAAUAAUCAAUCAUUUGAAAUUGACAUAAAAAGAAGUUAAGAUAUCUCGAUAAAAUCUGCAAAAGAUGUUUGUCUGCAAGCCAUGUUUAUAAAGGCUUAAUCAGAAUCGAUUUUAACUACUGACUGAUUACUCUGCUUUCUUUGGUAUAUUAAACAAGGUGCUAAAACCCCAACACAACCACCUUGGGUUUAUUUGCUUUGUGAUUCAUUCGAGCUGUUUUGGUAUUCGCCGGAUUGGGAAGAACCACAAAAUGAUUUCUAAAAAUAAAACUGAUGUAUCUUAUCGAAGAAUAAAAAUACAAAGAUUUAAUUUAA